GAUCCUGGCUCAGGAUGAACGCUGGCGGCGUGCUUAACACAUGCAAGUCGAACGAAGCACUCUAUUUGAUUUUCUUCGGAAAUGAAGAUUUUGUGACUGAGUGGCGGACGGGUGAGUAACGCGUGGGUAACCUGCCUCAUACAGGGGGAUAACAGUUGGAAACGACUGCUAAUACCGCAUAAGCGCACAGGAUCGCAUGAUCUGGUUCUAGAAAACCGUCCGGUGGUAUGAGAGUCGGACCCCGG
rnacentral:rRNA from 1 species